rnacentral:ncRNA from 1 species
AAAGCGCAGGCAAUAAUAGCUUGUCGGGUGCCACAACCUUCCGCCGUCUGUCGGCGUCCAAGUUGUGGAACCACAUCCGGCAAGACGCCUGCUUU